UGCAAGUCGAACGGAGUAGCAAUACUUAGUGGGCGAACGGGUGAGUAACACGUAUCUAAUCUACCAUUUAGUGGGGAAUAACUGUUGGAAACGACAGCUAAUACCGCAUAAUAUUGCUGGAUAAUUUCCAGUAAUGAAAGGAGCUUUCAAGCUCCGCUGAUUGAUGAGGAUGCGGCGCAUUAGCUAGUUGGUAGGGUAAUGGCCUACCAAGGCAAUGAUGCGUAGCCGAUCUGAGAGGAUGAACGGCCACAUUGGGACUGAGACACGGCCCAAACUUCUACGGAAGGCAGCAGUAGGGAAUUUUUCACAAUGGGCGAAAGCCUGAUGGAGCAAUGCCGCGUGACUGAUGAAGGUCUUCGGAUUGUAAAGGUCUGUUGUAAGGGAAGAAAUGGUAAAACAGGAAAUGGUUUUAUCUAUGACGGUACCUUACCAGAAAGCCACGGCUAACUAUGUGCCAGCAGCCGCGGUAAUACAUAGGUGGCAAGCGUUAUCCGGAUUUAUUGGGCGUAAAGGGUGCGUAGACGGUUUUGCAAGUCUGA
rnacentral:rRNA from 1 species